rnacentral:rRNA from 1 species
CCCCCGCCCCCCUACGGGAGGCAGCAGUGGGGAAUCUUGCACAAUGGGGGAAACCCUGAUGCAGCGACGCCGCGUGAGCGAUGAAGCCCUUCGGGGUGUAAAGCUCUUUCGGCAGGAACGAUAAUGACGGUACCUGCAGAAGAAGCUGCGGCUAACUACGUGCCAGCAGCCGCGGUAAUACGUAGGCAGCAAGCGUUGUUAGGAAUUACUGGGCUUAAAGAAUGUCUAGGGGGUGUCGUAAGUUUCGUGUGAAAUCUCCCGGCUUAACUGGGAGGCUGC